GACGAACGCUGGCGGCGUGCCUAAUACAUGCAAGUAGGCCGCAGUUGCGAACGGGUGAGUAACGCGUAGGUAACUACCUAUUCGAGGGGGAUAACUAUUGGCAACGAUAGCUAAUAACGCAUACUAGUAGAUGGACCUUCGUUGUAUUAGCUAGUCGGUAGGGUAAUGGCCUACCUAGGCAACGAUACAUAGGAGACCGGAGAGGGUGAUUGGCCACACGGGGAAUGAGAAAACGCCCAGAAUCCUCAGGUAGGCAGCAGUAGGGAAUCUUAGGAAAUGGGGGGAAACCUGACCGAGCAACUCCGCGGGAGUGAAGAAGGUUUUCGGAGCGUAAAGCUCUGUUGUUAAGUAAGCGGUACUUAACCAGAAAGGGACGGCUAACUACGUGCCAGCAGCCGCGGUAAUAC
rnacentral:rRNA from 1 species